rnacentral:rRNA from 1 species
GAUGAACGCUAGCUACAGGCUUAACACAUGCAAGUCGCGGGGCAGCAUGGGGGUUGCUUGCAAUCCCCGAUGGCGACCGGCGCACGGGUGAGUAACGCGUAUCCAACCUGCCCUUCACCACGGGAUAACCCGGCGAAAGUCGGACUAAUACCGUAUGUUGUCCAUUGACGGCAUCCGAUUUGGACGAAAGGUUUGGCGGUGAAGGAUGGGGAUGCGUCCGAUUAGCUGGACGGCGGGGUGACGGCCCACCGUGGCGACGAUCGGUAGGGGUUCUGAGAGGAAGGUCCCCCACACUGGAACUGAGACACGGUCCAGACUCCUACGGGAGGCAGCAGUGAGGUAUAUUGGGCAAUGGGCGUAAGCCUGAACCAGCCAAGUAGCGUGCAGGAUGACGGCCCUAUGGGUUGUAAACUGCUUUUAUGCGGGGAUAAAGUGGCCCACGUGUGGGUUUUUGCAGGUACCGCAUGAAUAAGGACCGGCUAAUUCCGUG